rnacentral:rRNA from 1 species
GGUGAACGCUGGCGGCGUGCUUAAGACAUGCAAGUCGAACGGCAGUCUUCGGACUGUAGUGGCGCACGGGUGAGUAACGCGUAACUGACCUACCCCAAAGUCGCGGAUAACGAUUCGAAAGAAUCGCUAAUACGUGAUGUGCUGUCAGAUUGUGUUCUGCCAGUAAAGAUCGAUUGCUUUGGGAUGGGGUUGCGUUCCAUCAGCUAGUUGGUGGGGUAAAGGCCCACCAAGGCGACGACGGAUAGCCGGCCUGAGAGGGGGGCCAGCCACAGGGGCACUGAGACACGGGUCCCACUCCUACGGGAGGCAGCAGUUAGGAAUCUUCCACAAUGGGCGAAAGCCUGAUGGAGCGACGCCGCGUGAGGGAUGAAGGUCUUCGGAUCGUAAACCUCUGAAUCAGGGACGAAAGACACUUCGGUGGGAUGACGGUACCUGAGUAAUAGCACCGGCUAACUCCGUGCCAGCCGCCGCAGUAAUAC